AUUGAACGCUGGCGGCAGGCCUAACACAUGCAAGUCGAGCGAACAGAUGAGAAGCUUGCUUCUCUGAUGUUAGCGGCGGACGGGUGAGUAACACGUGGGUAACCUACCUAUAAGACUGGGAUAACUCCGGGAAACCGGGGCUAAUACCGGAUAAUAUUUUGAACCGCAUGGUUCAAUAGUGAAAGACGGUUUCGGCUGUCACUUAUAGAUGGACCCGCGCCGUAUUAGCUAGUUGGUAAGGUAACGGCUUACCAAGGCGACGAUACGUAGCCGACCUGAGAGGGUGAUCGGCCACACUGGAACUGAGACACGGUCCAGACUCCUACGGGAGGCAGCAGUAGGGAAUCUUCCGCAAUGGGCGAAAGCCUGACGGAGCAACGCCGCGUGAGUGAUGAAGGUCUUCGGAUCGUAAAACUCUGUUGUGAGGGAAGAACAAAUUUGUUAGUAACUGAACAAGUCUUGACGGUACCUAACCAGAAAGCCACGGCUAACUACGUGCCAGCCGCCGCCGUAA
rnacentral:rRNA from 1 species